GUUACCAUCCUCGGUGCGAGUACACCUGAUCAAACACAUGGGCCGAUAAGCGGGACACUUGAUGAGCCUACACUGAUAACAACGCCUUCCUGGAUCCAACACACUUGAGCAUUACACACUUCAGACUACGCGUUUGAUUGUGCACAGACCGAAAUGUAACAUUAGUUAAUAGUGUUAAGUGUACAUUGAACAUGUGUGGCUAUAUCUGUUAUUCGAACAUAGGUCCUUGGUAUUGCUAGCUAGACAGUACGGCUUUUUUCACGAACAAAGAGAUGCGGGUGACUCGGCGCCAAGGGAAGCAAACUUUUAGACUAAACGACCUGGAUAGAAAUUGAGUGCUUCGUAAUGCAAGCUUUGAACGUGUGUGAAAAGUUAAAAACGACCACUGGGAUUGGAAAAACUUUACUUAGAAAUGCUUUUCAACUUCACCUUAGAUGUGGACGAAGGUGUAAAAACGUGCUAGCAUAAUAAGUAUUAGUUUGUGUUGUGUCAUGGAAAAUAUAAAAAACUCGCGAGUGUGUAUUUGUAAACAUGUAAAAUGACUAUUGACAAACGCAUCCAUAUGGGAUAGUAUCGUCGAAAAAAAAGCUCACCGGGGGAAUUCCGUGGUGAGGUAUUUCGUGGGUGAGCCGAAAAGGGCACCAUCCCCCAGUGCAUGGGGCGCCGUUGCCCCUGGCAACGUGCUCUAUCUUUGUAUCAAUGAAUACGGCGAGCUCAUAGAACGCAAUCUCAUAAUAGAAAAUAGACUUGAAUAGACAAUGUAUAAUUGUGUUGCUGUUGACAUUAUUUGAAUGAUUUGGGGCUCGAGUGAGAUUUAUAGUCAGCUGCAUCUAAAAUUAAAGAAUUAUUAUUUUGAAGGAACAAAUUAUAAAGGAUAUGAGAUGCGGUGUAUAAUCGUCUUAUUUAUUCAAGUGUUUAGUUUAAUGACACAUUAAGUCAGAAUUUUAUGUCUAAGUUUAUUUAAGACAUCGUUAAACAUGAAAGGCAUUAUUUUGAAAAAGCAUCUGAAUAUAUUAUGCGUGAGGAGUAUUUUAUGUUUCAUACAUGGCUUCAUUUUAACGUGGUUGAUGAGCCUCAUUACGAAUUUAGUAUAUUCGAUAAUUGUCUUUCUUUAAGUACAUGAGCUGUAGAGACAAUCGUCUUAAUAUAAUUUUUUCAGUGUUAA